GGUUACUGCUAUCGGUGUUCGCUUAAGCCAUGCGAGUCAUAUGUUCUUCGGAACAUGGCGUACUGCUCAGUAACACGUGGAUAACCUGCCCUUGGGUCCGGCAUAACCCCGGGAAACUGGGGAUAAUUCCCGAUAACGCACAUAUGCUGGAAUGCUUUAUGCGUCAAAUGGAUUCGUCCGCCCAAGGAUGGGUCUGCGGCCUAUCAGGUAGUAGUGGGUGUAAUGUACCUACUAGCCUACGACGGGUACGGGUUGUGAGAGCAAGAGCCCGGAGAUGGAUUCUGAGACAUGAAUCCAGGCCCUACGGGGCGCAGCAGGCGCGAAAACUUUACAAUGCGGGAAACCGUGAUAAGGGGACACCGAGUGCCAGCAUCAUAUGCUGGCUGUCCGGGUGUGUAAAAUACACCUGUUAGCAAGGGCCGGGCAAGACCGGUGCCAGCCGCCGCGGUAACACCGGCGGCCCGAGUGGUGAUCGUGAUUAUUGGGUCUAAAGGGUCCGUAGCCGGUUUGGUCAGUCCUCCGGGAAAUCUGACGGCUUAACCGUUAGGCUUUCGGGGGAUACUGCCAGACUUGGAACCGGGAGAGGUAAGAGGUACUACAGGGGUAGGAGUGAAAUCUUGUAAUCCCUGUGGGACCACCUGUGGCGAAGGCGUCUUACCAGAACGGGUUCGACGGUGAGGGACGAAAGCUGGGGGCACGAACCGGAUUAGAUACCCGGGUAGUCCCAGCCGUAAACGAUGCUCGCUAGGUGUCAGGCAUGGCGCGACCGUGUCUGGUGCCGCAGGGAAGCCGUGAAGCGAGCCACCUGGGAAGUACGGCCGCAAGGCUGAAACUUAA
rnacentral:rRNA from 1 species